UUGGUUUCAUUCCUCGUGAACUAGUUAACGCACAUGGGGAGUCCUAUUGCCUUCUGUUAAAAGUUUGCAACCAGGGAGAGAAGGUAUCCAUGGAAGUGUCCUUCUCCAGCAAUAACUGGCCACGGCGGAACUUUCCUUAUAAAGCUAAAUCACAGCCGUUAUUAUUUCAAAGAAAAUAUUAUUUUAUCUUUAUUUAUUACACCGGCACGUGGCUUCUCACCACGCUAUCUCUCUCUUUUUUUUUACAAUUAAAAUUAAAUAUUAUGUUAUAUUUCAUCAUCACACGUGCUCUCUUCCUUAUCUUCGCCGGAAUUUCCUCUCCUUUCUCUUCUCUUCUCUCUGCUCCUUUUUCUUUGCUUCCCUUUCCGUCUGCUUCCUUCACCACCAGAGCCAAACCCUAACUAAUUCUUCCUUCGGUUUCUUCCAUCGCUUUCUUUCUGCACAAACAAACGCCGCUGGAAAGCAACCGCCCCUCCUCUUUACUUCUCUCUCCAGCUUCUUCUUCUUCUUCUUCUUCUUCUUCUUUUGGGUUUUGUUUAUGCGAUAGUUUUGAUUGGCAUUUUGAAAUUUUGUGGUGAUUCGGGGAUGGGGGCGGUGACGUCAACUAUGGCGGCAAAAUUUGCGUUUUUUCCGCCGACUCCGCCGUCUUACCAGGUGGUGAUGGAUGAGGCCAGUGGGAAGCUGAUGAUGAUGGACGUGGGGACAAGGGAAAAUGUCGACGUUUUGAAGCUGGAUACCAAGAGAGGGAAUCGGGUGGUGGCGGUGUAUAUUAAGAACCCUGCGGCUUCUUUGACUGUUCUUUACUCCCAUGGCAACGCUGCCGAUCUGGGGCAGAUGUUUGAUUUGUUUAAUGAGCUCAGCUUGCAUCUUCGGGUCAACUUGAUGGGGUAUGAUUAUAGUGGAUAUGGACAGUCCAGUGGAAAGCCAACUGAGCAGAAUACUUAUGCGGACAUAGAAGCUGCAUAUAGGUGCCUCGAAGAGAGAUAUGGAGUGAAGGAAGAAGAUAUCAUCCUAUAUGGACAAUCAGUUGGAAGUGGACCUACUCUAGACUUAGCAACCCGAUUAAUGAACUUGAGAGCUGUGGUCCUGCAUAGCCCAAUUGCAUCUGGCCUUCGAGUAAUUUAUCCUGUGAAGCGAACAUAUUGGUUUGAUAUAUAUAAGAACGUUGAUAAAAUACCAAUGGUCAAUUGUCCAGUAUUGGUAAUCCAUGGAACUGCUGAUGAUGUUGUAGAUUGGUCCCAUGGUAAGCAGCUUUGGGAUCUUUGUAAAGAGAAAUAUGAACCAUUAUGGGUGAAGGGAGGAAAUCAUUGUGACUUGGAGCUAUACCCACAAUACAUCAAACACCUCAAGAAGUUCGUAUCAGCCAUUGAGAGAUCACCAAAUCUUAGAAAUGGAACUGGGCCAGUCACAGAUCAAUUGGAGAAUCCCCGGAAAAGCACGGAUUGUAGAGAGACCUGUGGACCAAACAUGGACCAAAAAGGGAAUUUUAGACAGAUUAUUGAGCAAAGAGAAAAGCCCAGGAUAAGCACAGACUGUAGAGAGAAAUCAAGAACCAGCACUGAUAGGAGAGAGAAAUCAAGAAAGAGUGUGGACCGCCCUGAGAAAGAGAAUCAUGUAUCAGAUCAGCCUGAGAAAGCAAGGAACAGCAUUGAUCGCUUUGGAGGCAUGAUAAGAUCAGUCGGAUUAUGCAAUAUUGAUUGUUUCAAACCUGCCACAAAAGCUCUCUGAAGAAAAAGAAGAGUAAAUCCAAGGAUUCACCUAUUCAGGAACAAAUCUUGGCAGUUUCAGUAUGCAAAAUCUUGAAAAGCUUCCCUUUAUUUAUUUAUUUUUUAUUGAGAGAGGAUGGAGGAGGAUGCAGGAGGUUGAACCCCAAACAUAUUACCUCAUCAUGCAGUCGGCAAGCAGCUUCUCUUUUCAACAUCUUUUGAAAGGAAUUUUUGUUAGACUUCACAUUCUCCAGCACCCCUUACCAAGGCAACUUUUUGUCUCUGGAGUGAUAUUCGCUAGUUUUAUACACAUGGUGUCUGGAUCCAUUAUCAUAGAAAAAGAGGACUGGGAUUAUUUUGACCAAAUUGAAGUGAAGAUGUGUCAAGUCUACGGAAGGACCGGUUCAAGUUGUCGAGAAGCAAGGCUUACGGGGCCGAAAUGGCUCUAGGCUUUUUGAGGUUAAACAGGGCGUUCUGCGAGCAUGAUUUCUUGAUCUUUACUGCCUGAAUUUCUUCUUGUAUGUCUCUGAUUGAUGACCAUCCAUUUCCUUUGUUAAUCUGAAGAUGCUAGAAUCAUGACUUCUUCUGAUGCGCCCGUACAGUUUUGAGGAUUUCCAUUUCAUAUUGGUUUUUAUAAUCCUUCUGUUGAGAAAUGCGAUGAUCCCCAUGGCCUAUUUCGUAUGUUUUUGUUGAUAAAUGUAAAGGUGAAUUUGAAUAUAUUUUUACUUGGUGUGUAAUAGUUGUGAAGCACACUUCAGUAACAAAAACAAUGAAUUGGCUUUCUGGAUGUACAAGAAUGAUGCAAAGCCACUAGAAAGCAGGGGAACUCGCUGAAAUUACUGAUUGAAUGUAUUUCAUUGAAUGCUAAAUGGCGUCUUCAUUCUCUUUCCAAGUUUA